rnacentral:rRNA from 1 species
AUUGAACGCUGGCGGCAGGCCUAACACAUGCAAGUCGAGCGAGCGGCGGACGGGUGGUUAAUGUAUGGGGCCUGCCCGAUAGAGGGGGAUAACUACUGGAAACGGUUGCUAAUACCGCAUACUAUCGGAUAACCCAUAUGGGAUUAGCUAGUAGGUGGGGUAAAGGCUCACCUAGGCGACGAUCUCUAGCUGGUCUGGGAAGAUGAUCAGCAACACUGGGACGGAGACACGGACCAGACUCCUACGGAGGGAGCAGGGGGGAAGAUGGCACAAGGGGGGCAAGCCGGAUGAAGCCAUGCCGCGUGUAGGAAGAAGGACUUGGGGUUGUAAAGUACUGUAAGCGGGGAGGCGUUACCCGCAGAAGAAGCACCGGCUAAGGCCGUGCCAGCAGCGGCGGUAAUUC